rnacentral:rRNA from 1 species
CCUACGGGUGGCAGCAGUGAGGAAUAUUGGUCAAUGGACGAGAGUCUGAACCAGCCAAGCAGCGUGAAGGAUGACUGCCCUCUGGGUUGUAAACUUCUUUUAUAUGGGAAUAAAAUGUUCCACGUGUGGGAUUUUGUAUGUACCAUAUGAAUAAGGAUCGGCCAACUCCGUGCCAGCAGCCGCGGUAAUACGGAGGAUCCGAGCGUUAUCCGGAUUUAUUGGGUUUAAAGGGAGCGUAGGUGGAUUGUUAAGUCAGUUGUGAAAGUUUGGGGCUCAACCGGAAAAUUGCAGUUGAAACUGGCAGUCUUGAGUACAGUAGAGGUGAGCGGAAUUCGUGGUGUAGCGGUGAAAUGCUUAGAUAUCUCGAAGAACUCCGAUUGCGAAGGCAGUUCACUGGACUGCAACUGACACUGAGGCUCGAAAGUGUGGGUAUCAAACAGGAUUAGAUACCCCAGUAGUC